AUUGAACGCUGGCGGCAUGCUUUACACAUGCAAGUCGAACGGUAACAGGGAGCUUGCUCCGCUGAUGAGUGGCGAACGGGUGAGUAAUGCAUCGGAACGUACCCAGUCGUGGGGGAUAACGUAGCGAAAGUUACGCUAAUACCGCAUACGCCCUGAGGGGGAAAUGGGGGGACCCGCAAGGCCUCACGCUAUACGAGCGGCCGAUGUCGGAUUAGCUAGUUGGUAGGGUAAAGGCCUACCAAGGCGACGAUCCGUAGCUGGUUUGAGAGGACGACCAGCCACACUGGGACUGAGACACGGCCCAGACUCCUACGGGAGGCAGCA
rnacentral:rRNA from 1 species